rnacentral:rRNA from 1 species
GUGCCUGCCGCCGCGGUAAUACGUAGGUGGCAAGCGUUGUCCGGAUUUAUUGGGCGUAAAGGGUGCGUAGGCGGUUAUUUAAGUGAGAUGUGAAAUCCCCGGGCUUAACUUGGGGGCUGCAUUUCAAACUGGAUGUCUAGAGUGCAGGAGAGGAAAGUAGAAUUCCUAGUGUAGCGGUGAAAUGCGUAGAGAUUAGGAAGAAUACCAGUGGCGAAGGCGGCUUUCUGGACUGUAACUGACGCUGAGGCGAGAAAGCAUGGGGAGCAAACAGGAUUAGAUACCCUGGUAGUCCACGCCGUAAACGAUGAGUGCUAAGUG